AACGCACAUUGCGCCCCUUGGUAUUCCGAGGGGCAUGCCUGUUCGAGCGUCAUUACAACCCUCAAGCACAGCUUGGUCUUGGGCUCCGCCGCCUCCCCGGCGGGCCUUAAAAUCAGUGGCGGUGCCGUCGCGGCCCUGAGCGCAGUAAACAUCCUCGCUACAGGGACCCGGCGGACGCUGGCCAGCAACCCCAACUCUCCAUGUUUGACCUCGGAUCAGGUAGGGAUACCCGCUGAACUUAA
rnacentral:misc_RNA from 1 species